rnacentral:rRNA from 1 species
GCGCAGCAGGCGAGAAUCCUCUACAAUGUGCGAAAGCAUGAUAGGGGGACUCCAAGUGUCUCUCUAAAGAGAGACUUUUGUAGUAUGUAAAAAGUACUACGAAUAAGGGGUGGUCAAGACUAGUGCCAGCCUCCGCGGUAACACUAGCAGCCCGAGUGGUAGUCAUUUUUAUUUGGCUUAAAGCGUCCGUAGUCUGAUUAGUAAGUUCUCUGUGAAAACCUGUUGCUUAACAAUAGGGCUUGCAGAGAAUACUACCAAUCUUGGAGCCAGGAGGGGUUAGGGGUAUUCCGGGGUAGCGGUGAAAUGCUAUAAUCCCCGGAGGACCACCAAUGGCGAAGGCACCUAACUGGAAUGGGCUCGACGAUGAGGGACGAAAGCGUA